UAUCAAUCAAUAUCUAUUUUUUCUCUCUCUGUGGGUAAAACUACUUCUUUUUAGAGCAGCAUUACCCAAGUCUACCCUGAACAGUACACUUCGGUAAUACCCCAAUGCACCCAACAUUAACAUUGAGUACCAUACAGGUAAUACUGGCCUGCAUUGUGAUAUUCUAGAGGUAAUAUAUGGGUGCAUUGUGGUAAUAUUACAAUACAUAUGGGCAUAAGAAGCAAUAUUGGGGUACCUUAGUAGCAUCAGAUCCUAAUAUUACCCCAAUGAUAACCAGCAUUAAUAUUAACAUGGACUCCUACAGAGAUAAUAUUGGAUACACUGGGCUGCUCUGUGAUAUUCUAGAGGUAAUAUUGUGUACCAUUGGGGUAAUAUUACAAUACAUAUGAGCAUAAUAAGAGGCAAUAUUGGGGCACCUUAGUAAUAUCAGAGCAAUACUGGAAUACUCUGGUGUUAUGCUGGGUUCAUUGGGAUAUUGUUGAGGUAAUACUGGGGUGUAUUUGGGUAAUAUUGGGAUAAAUUUGGGAAUUAGAGGUAAUAUUGGGGCACACUAGGGUAAUAUCAGAGCAAUACUGGAAUACUCUGGUGUAAUACUUGCUCCACUAGGAUAUUGGUGAGGUAAUAUUGCGGUAUUUCAGGGUAAUUUUGGAGCAAUAUUGAAGUAAUAUUUGGUCACCUUGGGGGUACUACUGAGCUACACUGCUGUAAUAUUGCAUUCACUAGAGCAUCACAGAGGUAAUACUGGGACACCUUGAGGUAAUUUUGAGGGUAAUACUGGGUGCACUUUGGUAUCAGAGGUAAUAUUGGGAUGAAAAUGGGGUAACAGGCAUCCUAGAGGUAAUAUUGGGGUAUUACUGGGGCACACUGGGGUAAUAUUUGGGUCCACUGAGGCAUCAUCCUUCAGGUAAUAUUGGGGUAUUACUGGGGCACACUGGGGUAAUAUUUGGGUCCACUGAGGCAUCAUCCUUCAGGUAAUAUUGGGGUAUUACUGGGGCACACUGGGGUAAUAUUUGAGUGGUGUAUUCCAGCAAAACACUCCACAUAUAUUCAUGACAUUUUAUUCAUAUUUCAUCUCAAUCUUUUUUUUU